rnacentral:rRNA from 1 species
GAUGAACGCUGGCGGCGUGCCUAAUACAUGCCAGUCGAGCGAACAGAUGAGGAGCUUGCUCCUCUGACGUUAGCGGCGGACGGGUGAGUAACACGUGGAUAACCUACCUAUAAGACUGGGAUAACUUCGGGAAACCGGAGCUAAUACCGGAUAAUAUAUUGAACCGCAUGGUUCAAUAGUGAAAGACGGUUUUGCCGUCACUUAUAGAUGGAUCCGCGCCGCAUUAGCUAGUUGGUAAGGUAACGGCUUACCAAGGCAACGAUGCGUAGCCGACCUGAGAGGGUGAUCGGCCACACUGGAACUGAGACACGGUCCAGACUCCUACGGGAGGCAGCAGUAGGGAAUCUUCCGCAAUGGGCGAAAGCUUGACGGAGCAACGCCGCGUGAGUGAUGAAGGUCUUCGGAUCGUAAAACUCUGUUAUUAGGGAAGAACAAAUGUGUAAGUAACUAUGCACGUCUUGACGGUACCUAAUCAGAAAGCCACGGCUAACUACGUG